rnacentral:miRNA from 1 species
UAUUAAGUUGGUGCAAACAUAAUUGCAGUUUUUGCACUUCAAAGUAAUGACAAAAAACUGCAAUCACUUUUGCACCAACCUAA